UUAUGGGUCAACUCAACUCAA
rnacentral:siRNA from 1 species